rnacentral:rRNA from 1 species
UUAUCAAAAACAUCGCCUCUUGCAUAAUAACCGUAUAAGAGGUCCCGCCUGCCCAGUGACCCCUAAAGUUCAACGGCCGCGGUAUUUUGACCGUGCAAAGGUAGCGUAAUCACUUGUCUUUUAAAUGAAGACCCGUAUGAAUGGCACAACGAGGGCUUAACUGUCUCCUUUUCCAAGUCAAUGAAAUUGAUCUCCCCGUGCAGAAGCGGGGAUUAACACAUAAGACGAGAAGACCCUAUGGAGCUUUAGACGCACAGGCAGACCAUGUUAAACACCCUUGAUUAAGAGCCAAAACUAAAUGAAACCUGCCCCAUGUCUUUGGUUGGGGCGACCAUGGGGAAUACAAAACCCCCACGUGGAACAGGAGCACACCCCUUAUUUCUUCCUCUCCUACAAGCCUGAGUGACAACUCUAGCCAGCAAAAUUUUUGACCAAACUGAUCCGGUUAGCCGAUCAACGAACCGAGUUACCCUAGGGAUAACAGCGCAAUCCCCUUUUAGAGCCCAUAUCGACAAGGGGGUUUACGACCUCGAUGUUGGAUCAGGACAUCCUAAUGGUGCAGCCGCUAUUAAGGGUUCGUUUGUUCAACGAUUAAAGUCCUACGUGAUCUGAGUUCAGAA